GGUUCACAUGGAGCAGUCAGCUCCAUGAGAAGUUCCUGCGGGCUGUUGAAGUGCUUGGGGAGUUUGCUACGCCUAGCAAUAUUCGUCGGCACAUGAAUGUCGAGAAUUUGAAUUUGACCUUGGAGCACAUAGCAAGCCAUCUCCAGAAACAUCGGCUGCGAGAGCAGAAGGCGAAGCAAAAAAAGGAGGAAUC